AGCCAUCUCGUGAGCCCCACAAGGUCCUGUUAAAGAAUCAUUAAUUGGGGGCUGGAGAGAUGGCUCAGCAGU
rnacentral:miRNA from 1 species